rnacentral:tRNA from 1 species
AUUCUUUUAGUAUUACUUAGUACAACUAACUUCCAAUUAGUUAGCCUUGAAUAAAUCAAGAAAGAAUA